UACGUAGGGUGCGAGCGUUGUCCGGAAUUAUUGGGCGUAAAGAGCUCGUAGGCGGUUUGUCGCGUCGACUGUGAAAACCCGAGGCUUAACCUCGGGCCUGCAGUCGAUACGGGCAGACUAGAGUUCGGUAGGGGAGACUGGAAUUCCUGGUGUAGCGGUGAAAUGCGUAGAUAUCUGGAGGAACACCGGUGGCGAAGGCGGCAUCCUGGACCGGCAUUGACGCUGAGGCGCGAAAGCUAGGGGAGCAAACGGG
rnacentral:rRNA from 1 species